CCUACGGUGGGCUGCAGUGAGGAAUAUUGGUCAAUGGGCGCGAGCCUGAACCAGCCAAGUAGCGUGAAGGAUGACUGCCCUACGUGUUGUAAACUUCUUUUGUAAAGGAAUAAAGUGAGGCACGCGUGCCUUGUUGUAUGUACUUUAUGAAUAAGGAUCGGCUAACUCCGUGCCAGCAGCCGCGGUAAUACGGAGGAUCCGAGCGUUAUCCGGAUUUGUUGGGUUUAAAGGGAGCGUAGGUGGGUUGUUAAGUCAGUUGUGAAAGUUUGCGGCUCAACCGUAAAAUUGCAAUUGAUACUGGCAGUCUUGAGUGCAGGUGAGGUAGGCGGAAUGCGUGGUGUAGCGGUGAAAUGCUUAGAUAUCACGAAGAACUCCGAUUGCGAAGGCAGCUUACUAAACUGCCACUGACAUUGAGGCUCGAAAGUGUGGGUAUCAAACAGGAUUAGAUACCCCAGUAGUC
rnacentral:rRNA from 1 species